UUCGUGGGGGAUGUUACAAAACUUUCGUUCUACUGAGUAGGGGUGGCAAAGCCCCCCUGUGUAGAGACAACUUGGAGACCUGAACUGACACGAA
rnacentral:snoRNA from 1 species